GUGCAGCAGGCGCGAAACCUCCGCAAUGCGGGCAACCGCGACGGGGGACCCCCAGUGCCGUGGCAUCGCCACGGCUUUUCCGGAGUGUAAAAAGCUCCGGGAAUAAGGGCUGGGCAAGGCCGGUGGCAGCCACCGCGGUAAUACCGGCGGCCCGAGUGGUGGCCGCUAUUAUUGGGCCUAAAGCGUCCGUAGCCGGGCCUGUAAGUCCCUGGCGAAAUCCCACGGCUCAACCGUGGGGCUUGCUGGGGAUACUGCAGGCCUUGGGACCGGGAGAGGCCGGGGGUACCCCUGGGGUAGGGGUGAAAUCCUAUAAUCCCAGGGGGACUGCCAGUGGCGAAGGCGCCCGGCUGGAACGGGUCCGACGGUGAGGGACGAAGGCCAGGGGAGCGAACCGGAUUAGAUACCCCUGUAGU
rnacentral:rRNA from 1 species